GGGGUUGUAGCUCAGAGGAAGAGCACUUGCCUUGCAUGUGUGAGGCACUGGGUUCAAUUCUCAGCACCA
rnacentral:tRNA from 1 species